GUCAGCUGCGCUACGCCCAGCCCGAGCACUUCCGCGCGCGCAACGAGCGCCUGGUGCAGCUGGCGCGCGAGCUGCUGCGGUCCGAGGAGGCCUUGCGCGCCUUCCGGCUGGCGUCAGCGGAGUUCCAUGGCGGAGGGCUGAGCGGCCCGGCCUAUUACGCCCGCUGCCAGGAGCUGCUGGGUCCGGAGAGGCUCGGCCGGCUGCUGCCAGAGCUGCUGGCGCUGCUGCCCGACAUCCAGAAGCAGACGGAGCUGCUGGCCGCGCACGAGCGGCUCAACAGCAACGGCCUGCACCGGCACAGGUUCAUCCCGUGCCCGACGUGCGGCCAGGUGCUGGUGUUCGCCGACCUGGCGCACCACUCGGCGCUGCACUGCCAGAACGACGAGUUCCCGCCGGCACCGGCGCUGGCGCCGGCCGAGCUGCGCUGAGACGCGGGGCGCUCGGCGACCCUCCCCUGCCCAGCUUACCGCCGGGUGUCCCUGUUCUGCCCGGCCGACCGCCGGGUGUGCCUCUCCUGCCCGGCCGACCGCCGGGUGUGCCUCCCCUGCCCGGCCGACCGCCGGGUGUCCCUGUCCUCCUCGGCCGAUUGGUGGGCGUCCCUUCCCUGCCCAGCUGACCGCCGGGUAUCCUUCUCCUGCCCGGCCGACCGCCGGGUGUCCCUCUCCCGCCCGGCCCACCUCUCGGCGUCCCUCCCCCACCCGGCCGACCGCCGGGUGUGCCUCUCCUGCCCGGGUGACCGCCGGAUGUCCCUCUCCCGCCCGACUGACCGCCAGCCGCCGGACCUGGUCGGCUGCAUCCCGGUCUCGUUGUAGGAUUUUUUCUGUUGUGCGUCGCUGUCGCCUCGGACAGUUGGUUGUCUUUGGAUAGUUUGUUUUAACGUAGGUGUUGCGUUCGCGGGUAGCCGCUGUUUUGGUUUCGUUCGUAGCAUGUUUUUGUGUGUUCGUCGGAACGCUGGUCAUCGUUUCGCCCUUAGGUUUGAAGGCUUGUCAGGUCGAGGCCCCGUGGUCUCACACGAGGUCGUUCUGUUUCUGGCGCGAGUGUGUCGCGCGCUAGUGGUCGGCUGGUCCGCCCUGGCCCGGCGUUCGCUUCAGCCACGCGGGAGUGGUGUCGAACGAGCCUCGCGCGUCGUCGUACUGCCGGCCCGGUGCCGGCGCGCGCCGUGGUGCGCCUCGCUCGUGCGCCGCCUGCGUGCCGGCGCCGCCGGCGAGCUGGCUCGGACGCCGGCCGCCAACGAGUACAAUCUGUGCAUAUUGAGGUCUAGUCUGCGCCUGG